UGGACAUGGGAUCAGCCCCUUGCAAGUCCGCUACCUACACGCAGAACAACACAAACAGAAUAAACGCGCACAGGCUAGCUGACACCGGUGUUAUUGUCCCUCUCGUCCACUCAGAGCCCAUGUCUUCCCAAACAAUUUAAAAGGGAAAACUUUUAUGUUCGUGUAUUAAACUUGUUGCACUUGAUGGACCUGACUGCUAAUUCAACUUACAGCACAUGCAAUCGUGUUUAGCAAUUGUCGUCUGUUGUCUUGUUUAAGAAGAUAAAGAUAUCCCAUAUGGUUGACAAGAGUGAUGUAGUGAGGUGAUCAUAGUAGGUCACGACCGGUCAUGACAAAGUAAUUCAUUCAGUUGAUCAGAAUGAUCAGAAUGUCAUGAGGAACCACGGGUAUUCUGCUGAAAGUGCUUUCUGAUGUGAUCCGUUAUUUGGUGGGAGAAACGUCCGUGAAUGGUGCAUUUGCAUGACAAGUGAUUGUUUUGUGUGAAAAGCGAACGUGGAAUAAUAAUUUGAUUAAAUGUUUCCAACAUCAACACAAAGGAGAGGAAGAAAACGAUUUCAGUUGCUGUCUUGUAGUUGUGCUGUUCUCUAAAUUGAAAAGAUGAGAAAGAGGUGUCAGAAUAACGGAAGAAAUAACAUUCUGCUAGUCAUUCAUGUUAAGAGGUUGGCUGCCCUGUCACUGUUACCUAAAUAUCCGGUCUACAGAAUCAAGGUACGUUUCUUUCCUGGUACGAAGAGGUGUUUAUAAAUAAUAAGACGGUUUUAUGUGUGUAUGUUUAUAUACAUAUAUGUAGA